GAUACGAAGUCCCUCCAAGAAGUACGAAACCCUCGUUCGUUGCCAACGCCGUCAGAGGGAGACGCCGCCGCCGCCGCCGCGUCUCCGGGGGAGGGCGGUUUGAAUCCCCUCCGCCGACGUACGGGAUCGCCGCCGCUGAGAUCCGGGAGAUGCCGACGCCGCCGUUCUAGGAGAGACGUCGCCGCCGUCCGAGGGGAGACGUCGCUGCCACACCUCCUUUUCUCACGCCCCAUCUCCUCAGCCGGGAGGCCCCUGCCUCCCUCUCCUCCUGCGAGGCAACAGCUGGCCGCGAGUGGAUGGUGCUCUCGGGAGCGGGGGACACGAGUGCGGUGCAGUCAACGGCCAGGUGCGAUGCGAGCAGCAGUCGGCGGCGGACGGGGCCAACGCUCAACGACGGUUUUGUGCAGAAGGCUGAGAAAGUUGGGACCAGAAACUUUGCUAGGAUAUGCCUUGAUUGGCGUCUCCGUUCCCUAGGUGACCCUGUCUUCAUGUGUUCACUUGGUCGAGAAGUUCGUCGCUGCCGCCGAGGAACAGAACAGGAGCUUCUUGCAACCGUGGACAGUACAUUGUUGCCUCGUCCAGAUGUUGUGGUGCCGCUGCCACACUGCUGGCUCGUUUCGGCUCCCCUAUUGCAUCGCCUGAUGCAUCGGAGGAGGAGAUGUAAUAAUGGUUGUUCUCCACGAGAAACUAUGCUCAUAAUUUUUCCUAUAAAUAUCCACUUGUGCAAGUACUAAGUAUUACAGCAAGGAGGAAUCAAGUGGCUUGCAGUAGACCGUCACCAGAAGUAUGCAAGAAUAACCGUAGCGUCUGGACCAGCCUCCUUUCUUUUAAUGCAUGAUAGAUAGUAUCUGGAACCGUCAGUCUCAGCCAUGCCAUGGUGUCUUACAGGUAUUUUCAGAUCAUUGAUGUCUGGUUUCCGUUCUGAUCUGAACAUAUAGUUGAGCAGGGACUUUAUGAUUUUGGCCCAGAUUCUGUUUGAUGAGUAAACUACUAUUAUUAGUUCCCACAAAAAACCAAUGAUCAUUAGCUCAAAGUUUAAUUUUAUUUUCAUUUGAGAGCACCGACAGUUAGUUUUCACCACCUCCGCGUCCACCCGCCCAACAAUUAGUACCCUGUUAACUUGAGGGAUGGCGUCUCACAGUACAAUGUUCAGGUAUGGAUACUGUGUCUUCUUAUCUAGAUAUCAGAUCUUCUAUAGUACGCCAUGAAAAUUCAAACGCCUAUCAGCUUCAUAGAAGAAAGUUAGUCUUAUGAUAGAAAAAAGGCCCAUCGGCCAUUACAAUGCCUGAUUGUUAUCAUCUGCUUUUCAGCUGAUUACUGAUUACUGAGUACUGACUAUACCCAACAACAUAUGACUGACUGGACCAAGUAUAACUAGCUGUCUUUGUGUCCAAUAUUCUUUGGAAAAUUCUAUCAAACUGGGUAGGCGCAUGGGCAUCACACUAGGACAAGACAGACUGGUUGCACUCAUACACAGGUUGAUUCGAUCUUUUAAGUAUUUAUGUUUUUGAAUGGUCUCUUACAUGUCAUUAUUUGUAGCACACAGGACCAUGAGCUCUAGCCAAACAUAAUUCAUACCGUAAUAAUUAGGAAGUUUGUAACUGAUUUACUUUGUUCUUUUGUCUUGGUUGUUGAAGUUUGUAAUUGAUUUACUUUGUUCUUUUUUCUUGGUUGUUGGUUAGUUAAUUACCGGUCAUUUGACCAUUUUUGUACACUACCGAGUUUGCCUUUGUGAGCAAAUACUAUUCAAUUCUACAUAUACUGUUUGAAUGCUGAGGUACAUCACUUUUAUGUUAUACUCUCAUGAUCCACCCAUUGUUUUCUUCUUUGUUCUUUCUUUCAGGAUCAGAAUUGUGAAUGUAGGCUGUAGAAAUCCAACUUCCAAUUGCUUAUUAAUACCUCAGAUGGCCAUGUUAUGCAGGGUGAAGCAUGAUGAGAAGAAAACACCGAUGGAUCCAGAUGGGGAGUCGAGAGGCAUGGAGAGGUGAUGAGAAGGACAACAUCUUAGUUACUUAUCAGAACAGAGUUCAUAUAGAAAAGGAUGUACUAGCAAGGAUGUGCUUCAAGGUGAUAUUUGUCACAACGGUCAUAGGUCGCAUCUGAAAUACAUGUUGUUUGAUCGUUGUUUUUAAUGUUUAAGCUUCGUGUUUCAUGGCAAUGCAUGGCCAUCCACCUAUUACUAUAAGAGGGCUAUACAAAUUAUUCCCAAGUUUGUUGUAAGUGGUGGUUUAUCAUAUGGUCUAGGUUUUAAGUGAUCAGGUUC